GGCAGGGGUGGGCAGUGUUGGUGGUCUCUUCCACUCUGCAGCCUCAGGAGUGCCCACCUGACCAGGCGGUUGGGUCUCUCUCUCACGGGGUCUGGGAGCAGAGAGCUGCUGCAGGCCGGGAUCCGCGGGUGUGGAUUCCUCUCUUAUUUUUAAGCCAUGAAGUUAAUGCUAUCCGUGUACCUUGGAUUUGUGACCUUUACUGGAGGGUUGUCAAUGCAGCAGGGCCACACCAUUAAAGAAAACAGAUUCUUACUCUUCCAGAAGCCAUCACCUGCCAAUUGCUCCUGAGGUAGGGGUGAGUCUUACCUCUCUUCCGCAUGCUGGAAUUUUGUCAGACCUGAGCAGUCUUGUGCAUUCCGUCUCCACUGCUGUGAAUUCGUAUGUGUAACUGCCCUGUGUACAAUAAACACUAUUUCCCCUUAGUCACCCACCAUCCCCUUCUAAUCUAUCUUCCUCAAUGAUCCUUGACUCUUGACAGGGGGUGUGAUAUAGACAUCCAGUUCAGGGCCGCACAUUCUGUAGUCUCUCAUUCUCUGCACUUGACCAGUUGAGUGCUUCUACGUUAAGCAUAUUCUACUGCAAAAGAAACUUUUCUGAUGAUGGUCAGCCAAUGCACUAUUUAUCUGUUUAAGUCGUUAGGGACAUAUCCACUAUGUCCAUUUAGUAGAGUAAUAGCCCUACUCCCCUCGGGCCUACAUCCUGUCUAGUCACAGGUUCUUGGCCUAGAUAAUGGUGGUAGGUAUGGAUUCCAAUUUGUGGAGUAGGGCUUGAAUCAUCAGAAAACAAGAUGCCAUACUAUAGCAUAAAGCAUGUUUAAAGAUAAAAACUUUAGUACGUUGCUCAUGUUGUAAAAAGACAGGUUAGGAUCUAGACACCUGCCACACUAGUCUGUUCUUUUCUAAUUAUACAUGGUGCCUUCCAGACCAAAGUCCUUUCUGCAAAGGUGAUUUGGUAGUGUGGUAUAGGAUCUCAGAGCGAUUAGGUGGUUUAAGCAAGGAUAUAUGCCAGGUAAAUGGCACAGAUUUGAUUUACAACGGAGGCUAUGGGAUUCCAGUUCUUUACUAUGCUUCAUCUGUUAUCUAUAGAUAUUUGUGAUGGUAAUAGUGCUGCUCUGUACAUGCCACUGUAAUGUGUCUGUAUCUUGCUGACCUCAGGACAAGGACAAAGUCUUAGAUAUCAAAUCUAGCCAAUAAAAAUGAUAUUAGCUCACACAGUAGGCACUUUUUAAAUUGUUAAAUAAAACGAGUGUACUAGACACAUCAGGUACACACACGUAUGAAUAUAUCCCUAUACUUUAACCUUAUAAAAGAGGAUUCUGCGACUCAGAUUGUUUGUGAAAACUUUACCUAGUCUGUUUAUUAGUAGAGGCAGGAAUUUAGAAUCAAUCUGUCCUUUCUUUUAUAAAUACUGGCUACAUUUGAUAUCUUUAUUUGCCACAGCUACUCAGUACUUGAAAUAUGACAACUCCAAAGUGGGAAUUUCUUUAACUGAAAAAUAUAUAAGUUUAAGGACUCAGUAUGAGAAAAGGUGCAAUAUUCCAUGUUGGUACAUUUUUUCAUAUUGACACAGCAAAUUGGAUUAAACAUAUAUUAUUAAAAUUUAUAUUUUAUUUGUUUUAAAACAUGGGUAUAAAACAAAUGGUACUUGUGGAGUAGGGCUUGAAUCAUUUACAUGGCGCACCACUGACUAUCCAUUCUCUCAGUCUAGGUCUCCCAUGACCCCUCCUAUCCUCUUUGGUCUAUGUAUGUGAAACCCAGAGAGUCACCAGAAGCCGGGUCUAGAUGACCCAUUUCUACAUUACACUUCACCAACCGAAUGAAGCUCAAGGCCACUGUGCUCAUCUGAUACCCCAGCUGGGAUGGUUUCCACAUUCUACUUGAUUGGUCCUGUGGUAAAAGGCAGGCUAAGGCACACUGGACAGUAGCCACAUCAGACUGUUCCCUCCUAAAAGGACUUCCCUGUGAGAUUUCUCUUAUGCAGAUCCAAGGCCCUGAAGGCCUCUGAGUAGCAUUUUGAUACAUCAAAGAACUGCGAGGGCUCCACAGGGGCUUGGAGGUCUUAUCACUCAAUGGUGUCUGGAGACAAGGGUCUGCGGUGUCCUACGAGCCGCAGUAGCACUCAUACACACUUAAAACGAAAGGAGCCAGGGUCCCAGUGCUCAAGACUGCAGUAACUAGCUUCUAAUGGGCACCCUCUGCUGUAUACCAGACUUUGUCUUCUGCUUCAUCCUCUUUGAAAGAGGGAAAUUACUAGAAAAUGAUUCUGGCACGUCAGUACCUACUCUUAUAAUAUGAAGACGAUCUAGGAUGGUCACUGUGUCCACUCUUGAUUACAACACUGGCAAGUGUCCCAUGUCACCUACCACCAUAGAGAAAGAUGCUUGAAUUGAGGUGGGAGGGGCACCGUAGCCAGGUGGCAUGCUCCCUGCUGUUUGGGAAUGACCGAUGUUCAAUCACACAAAAUGUCAGCGGAAGCAAAGUGCCCUAAAACAUGAGCUGGUAAAAGAGUCAGAGAGAGAGAGAGAGAGAGAGAGAGAGAGAGAGAGAGAGAGAGAGAGAGUGUCAGAGGACAGGAGAUCUGAAAGUUGUCAGAGUUUGAGUCUUGUGCUAGCACCCCAAGAACACUGCACUUGUUUCUUCCCAUCUUUGCGCUCAGUGACAGUGUGUGGAUGGCUUUAAAUCGGUUACUGUGGGGAUUUUUUAUGCAGCAUAAGUAGGGUUGUCUUUGGAUGUGGUAGGAUUCUUCAUGCAUUGGAACUGUGCAAAUCUUCAGAUUAGCCUUAUCCUUUGAACCUGUUAUUAAGUCCAGUAGCACAUCACGGUGCAGAACAUUGAGUAACCAAUGACAGGUGUCCCUUUGAAGGACACCUUUGGUGCUCCAGCUGGGUGGCUCCGCGGUGUGAUCUGAAUCUCUGUGAGCUGGGUGUGGAAGGGACGGCAGGUUCUAUGUGGACACUGUCUUCCUCACUCCAAACCCUCCAUUUAAUGUCAUUCAUGGUCCACUCACUGUCACCCGAGUAGCUCUGCGUUUGCUGAAUGAUGACAAGCAACUGAUACUGACACGUGGCGUCCUUUUAACACGGAGGCUUUGAACGUUAGGAACCUCAGGAUGGAUGUGUUUGCAUCCUGGUCUGGAUAGGAGGCUCACAGCAUUUCCUUUGUCAAGUGGGAGACCCAGCAGAGCUUUGUCCUGAGUGAUCCUUGUUAGUGAGGCUCUUGCUGUGCGUAUUCGCAGCCUGUGAAAUAGCCUUCAGCACGGUAACAUGUUUUUUUUGCUUUGUCUUGGUUUUAGUUUUGUGUUUCUGGCUAUUGUUUCAACAGGAAAAAAAAAUAUUCCAGAAGCUGUGUUGGUGGUGUUGGGCACUGUGUCUUAUUCUUUUUUUAAUUUUCAAUUUUUCCAACAUGUGUAUGAUCAAACAGCUUGCAUGCACAUACUUCUUGCAAUGAGUCAUUGGCCCGCUUCAAGGUUUCUGAAGCACCAUAAGUACUGUUGAGCCUCAUCUCUCAUAUCCUGUUGUCGCCCAGAGUUAGGGUGAUCUCGUGGCAGGGCAGGGCAUCUGAAGGCAGGAUCCAUGUGAGAUCCGGGUGGCUUCUGCCCUUGGUGACACUUGUCCUGCCUGAUCACGGGGCACGGCCAUCACUGUGGCUCUGUACUCUUCUCUCCUCAGUAGGGUAAGCGGCAAGAGCUGCAGCAGCAGGCGCUCCAUGCUGUGGGGCCUGCGGUCCCAAGCCUCCUUCCUGGUGGUUAGAAAACUGGCCCUACUCAGCAAAAUCAUGGUCCUCUGGCUCUGUGCCCACAUCAUUACAGAUGGUUGUGAGCCACCAUGUGUUUGCUGGGAAUUGAACUCAGGACCUCUGGAAGAGCAGUCAGUGCUCUUAACCACCGAGCCAUCUCUCCAGCCCUAUGAGACCAGUUUUAAAAGUAUCUUCCUGUAAGACCUGCCUUUUUUUGUUUGUUUUUUAUAUUGUUUUGUUUUGUUUGAGGUAGGGUUUCUCUGUGUAGUCCUGGCUGUCCUGGAAUGCAUCCUGUAGACCAGGCUCAAACUAAGAGAUCUGCCUGCCUUUGCCUCUCGAGUGCUGGGAUUAAAGGCACCUCCACUGCCUUUUUAUCUUUUUCUUUCUUGAGUUCUGGAGAUACUCCCCUCCCUGACUGCUGCUGCUUCCUCUCCCCUGGAAGCCUCCACGUCUGUGCCUAUCCUAUGGAAGCUGGUGUGGAGGUCCAGGCCUUCUGUGAAGGAGGGCUUCUUCCCUUUUCACCCUCUUUCCUCGGUGAGUCAAGUUUGACUCAAAAAAUCCCUCUGCUCUUGGAAAUCUUCCCAGUACUGUUUAAACCAAGCAGUCUGUUAGGCAUCCUCUCGUUAGAGCUCUGCCUUUCACCUUUAUCUUUCCUUAGUAGCUCUCAUGUGUUAUUCAUAGCGAUGCUUAUCUUUCAGUCACAAGAAAAGUUCUUCGUUAGAAGUGAACUGCUGUUCUUUUUCUCUUUUCGUAUGACUUCUACGCUUAAUACCCAAUGCAUAAUUAUUAAGUAAUUAGAAGAAAAGAAUUUGUAACACCUUAAGCAUUUUUUUAUUCUCCAUCUAAACAAGAUAGACGCCCACUAUUAGUUCACUGUAUCUUUACAGCGCUUCUUGGAGGCAUGUGUUACCGUCUCUAUUUGCACACGAGGCGUUUGAAAUCCGGGGUAACUGAACAACGGCUUAGAGUCAUAGAGCAGUGCACUGGGGUAAUGUGUCACUGUGGAAGAAAGGUCAGCUUUCUUCAGAUUUCUCCAGGACACACGCUGUCCCCUUCACACGCCAUCUUCUGUGAACAGAGAGUGAGGAGGAGCAACGUCCGCCGAGUAGGAGGCAGUGUGCGGAGGAAGCUUCUGCCCCACCCUGGCUGGCUGCUUACACCUUUCCUUCUCCUCUUCUUCCAGACUGGAUGAUACCCUGCUAGCUCCAACACGGGGAUGUAGGAUUCUGCUCACCGUUUGUGAUUCGGUUGGCCGGCUAUGCUUUGGCUGACUUCCAUGGAAGUCCAAGUCUUCGGGCAGCAAUGGCGGUAGCCUGGAAUGAUUGAGGGGACACUUUAUGGGAUCUCACUGGACAACAACUCAAAAGAGGGUGUGAUGAGAGAAAAAGGGAAUCAAAUAUAACUUCGCUUUGGUACCUCACUUCUGCAGUCCUCUGGAAGUUUUGCAUUCUCCCUUUUUGGGCAGGGUCGUCGAGGUUUAGGUGCCACAUGACACUGGUUGGACACAGCACUUCUGAGAGGAUCCCAGACACCGAGAGUCCCUGGGAGACACUAAGCUAGAACCUGGGAGCAGUUACCCAGGUGUUUCCACUCUGCCAUGAAGACAAUGGGAAAUGUUUCCAGUUUCCCCCGGAUAUUAACCAUCCUGAUCUAGGGUGAGAAGUCAUGACAGAGACUCAUGCCAUUCUGUAUCUUUAUUACUGUUUUAUUUUUUAAAUUAUUAAACUAAAAACAUUUCUCUGUG